CAGGGUGUUCCAGGAACGGAGCUCAGAAAUCAACCAGCCCAGUAGCACUUACUUGCUUAAAACUGCCAGUGGGCACUAUGGAGAAAAAAAACAUUUCCAUUUAUUAGUGAAUAUCUGCAGCUUGCUAAGACAUAUUAUCAUGCAGAGCCACAAUCAGUUGAUUUUUUAAGUGCUGCAGAACAAGUCAGAAAUCAGAUCAACUCAUGGGUUGAAGGACAAACUGACA